AGAGGCCUUGGGAGCCCGGCGCUCUGUUCCGACCUGGGCUGCAGUGCUCGGGCAGACGGCGCCCGCGGCCCACGACGCUUCCGCAGGGUCGGUGGCCAGUGAGCUUCGCCGCCUGGCUUCCUGACGACCGCCGAUCGCCUGUGUUCGUGGCUUUUUCUCAUCCACUGUCCUCAGUUCCCUCGCCUUCGAAAAUGGCGAGGCUCUGCUACGAAUUCCUCUGGGAACAGUGCGGGGGGCAACUCACUUGUUGAGAACCAGUUCUCCAUCUUUAAAAAUGGGACCCACCAACGACAACCAAGGGAUCUUCUGGACCCUCAAGAGAGCAAGAGGGAAAUUCAUCCCCCAGACCUCUGAUACUCUGUCUCACCUUUCCACCACUUUGUUGAACACCUCCCCCGCG
ensembl:lncRNA